rnacentral:rRNA from 1 species
GAUGAACGCUGGCGGCGUGCCUAAUACAUGCCAGUCGAGCGAACAGACGAGGAGCUUGCUCCUCUGACGUUAGCGGCGGACGGGUGAGUAACACGUGGAUAACCUACCUAUAAGACUGGGAUAACUUCGGGAAACCGGAGCUAAUACCGGAUAAUAUAUUGAACCGCAUGGUUCAAUAGUGAAAGACGGUUUUGCUGUCACUUAUAGAUGGAUCCGCGCCGCAUUAGCUAGUUGGUAAGGUAACGGCUUACCAAGGCAACGAUGCGUAGCCGACCUGAGAGAGUGAUCGGCCACACGGGAACUGAGACACGGUCCAGACUCCUACGGGAGGCAGCAGUAGGGAAUCUUCCGCAAUGGGCGAAAGCCUGACGGAGCAACGCCGCGUGAGUGAUGAAGGUCUUCGGAUCGUAAAACUCUGUUAUUAGGGAAGAACAAAUGUGUAAGUAACUAUGCACGUCUUGACGGUACCUAAUCAGAAAGCCACGGCUAACUACGUG